UUUCCUACGGGAGGCAGCAGUGGGGAAUAUUGCACAAUGGGGGAAACCCUGAUGCAGCGACGCCGCGUGAGUGAAGAAGUAUUUCGGUAUGUAAAGCUCUAUCAGCAGGGAAGAUAAUGACGGUACCUGACGAAUAAGCCACGGCUAACUACGUGCCAGCAGCCGCGGUAAUACGUAGGUGGCAAGCGUUAUCCGGAUUUACUGGGUGUAAAGGGCGUGUAGGCGGGAGAGCAAGUCAGAUGUGAAAUUCCAGGGCUCAACCCUGGAACUGCAUUUGAAACUGUUUUUCCUGAGUGAUAGAGAGG
rnacentral:rRNA from 1 species